rnacentral:ncRNA from 2 species
UACGGAGGGUGCAAGCGUUACUCGGAAUCAUUGGGCGUAAAGCGCACGUAGGCGGUCUCUUAAGUCCGAUGUGAAAUCCCGGGGCUCAACCUCGGAUGGCCAUUGGAAACUGAGAGACUUGAGAGUGGAAGGGGUCAGUGGAAUUCCUGGUGUAGGAGUGAAAUCCGUAGAGAUCAGGAGGAACACCGGUGGCGAAGGCGACUGACUGGGCCAUUUCUGACGCUAAUGUGCAAAAGCGUGGGGAGCAAACAGG